rnacentral:rRNA from 1 species
AUGGAGAGUUUGAUCCUGGCUCAGGAUGAACGCUAGCGGCAGGCCUAAUACAUGCAAGUCGAGGGGCAGCACGAGUACUUGUACUUGGUGGCGACCGGCGCACGGGUGCGUAACGCGUAUGCAACCUACCCUUUACUGGAGGAUAGCCCGGGGAAACUCGGAUUAAUACUCCAUAGUAUUAUCAGAUGGCAUCUGAAGAUAAUUAAAGAUUUAUUGGUAAAGGAUGGGCAUGCGUAUCAUUAGUUAGUUGGUGAGGUAACGGCUCACCAAGACUUCGAUGAUUAGGGGGCCUGAGAGG